CUUCGUGUCGUGCACCUGCAGGACGUCGGGGGCACUGCCGCUUAGGCCGCUGAGCGCCUGCUGGGCGAUGUCGUGCGAGGACAGGUGCAACAUGUCAUGAAUUAAAGGUGCUGUAGUUAAGAAAUUAGGCGAAACACCUCAGAUAUCACCAUGAAGGUUGGGGACAGACCAUCUUACCUUCAGGAGACUUGUCCUACAAGUCAGAAUGGGGCUCAGUCUGCAUUCUCUAUGUUCAGACCCUCUGAUUCUUCCUCCACUGCUCUCUCACUGGAUCUUCGGGUCAGACGUUAUUGCAACAUAAACUGGAAGGUAGCAAAUAAGCCCUUUUGAUUUCUUCGAUCCUUAUUUGCCCAUCCCUGCAAAUUCUCCAGUCCACUAGAAGGAAGCAGCACUUUGAUGAUGCGCUCUUACUGAAGAUGAAGAGCCCCAAUCCUGUGGAACCCAAACCCUCACACUCUUUGACAUGGAUGUGGUGAGCUUAGCAUUUUUAAAAUAAAGAGUUUUCUGAU